rnacentral:rRNA from 1 species
GACGAACGCUGGCGGCGUGCUUAACACAUGCAAGUCGAACGGAAAGGCCCUGCUUUUGUGGGGUGCUCGAGUGGCGAACGGGUGAGUAACACGUGAGUAACCUGCCCUUGACUUUGGGAUAACUUCAGGAAACUGGGGCUAAUACCGGAUAGGAGCUCCUGCUGCAUGGUGGGGGUUGGAAAGUUUCGGCGGUUGGGGAUGGACUCGCGGCUUAUCAGCUUGUUGGUGGGGUAGUGGCUUACCAAGGCUUUGACGGGUAGCCGGCCUGAGAGGGUGACCGGCCCCAUUGGGACUGAGAUACGGCCCAGACUCCUACGGGAGGCAGCAGUGGGGAAUAUUGCACCAUGGGCGGAAGCCUGAUGCAGCAACGCCGCGUGCGGGAUGACGGCCUUCGGGUUGUAAACCGCUUUCGCCUGUGACGAAGCGUGAGUGACGGUAAUGGGUAAAGAAGCACCGGCUAGCUACGUG